AGCGAACGCUGGCGGCGUGCUUAACACAUGCAAGUCGAGUGCGCAGUCUUCUGUAGCAAUACAGGAGGCCGGCGCACGGCGCACGGGUGAGGAACACGUGGGCAACCUACCCUCCAAUGGGGGAUACCCCCGCGAAAGCGGGUCUAAUACCGCAUGAUAUUCCGGGAACGCAUGUUCCUGGAUUCAAAGUCCGCAAGGACGUUGGAGGAGGGGCCCGCGCCCGAUUAGCUUGUUGGCGAGGUAACGGCUCACCAAGGCUAUGAUCGGUAG
rnacentral:rRNA from 1 species